UAGGAAAGUUUUAUAGCGUAGGAGAGAAUGUUCAAGAGGCAGUGCUGGGUUAGUUGUAGAGGUAGUAAGCAAAGCCAGGUGUUUGAAGCUAUCAAGAGAGAAGAGAUUUAUAGGCCUCUUCAAUAGACAAAAAACUACAUUCUUCUUCUGCCUGUAGGGCUUAAACUAAGACUGCUGAGUUGUCUUUCAGUGAUCCUACUGCAGGACAUCAAUUGUAAAAAGUUGGGGUAGCAAAAAUGACUUCUGCCAUGCAGUCUCCAUGACAGGCAGCAGUGUUGGAGCUUCAAGAGGAAGGACAAACCAUUACUUCUUGCCUUGCUCUAACCUGCAUACCAGGAUCCUCUUCCCUGAGUCAGCCUUGCAGAUGUGGUUACACUGGUUUAAAAAUGCAAGUGUGAGAGCUGGCCCGACAGACUAGCAAUGACAAGGUUAAACUACGGAUGUUUAGGAAAUCCAAGCAGGCUGCCUGUGCCACAACAAAGCAAUGCUGGCUAUGGCUACCUGUUUCAGCAGACUUCUCCUCCUGUCUUCCACGGGGCCCAGGGACUCAGCUGUGCCCUGCAAAGCUUCCUGUUUACAAUCACGCAUCCUCCGAAAACAGCGCACGCUCUGCUUCCCACAUCUCUGAAGCCCUACAAGGAUCCAAUAACAUCCUGUGACUUGCCGUCACUGCAGCCCUUGUUUUUCUGAGAACUGGCGGGAGAAGGCUCUCACAGGAUUGUUAACAAUCGGUCAUCACCUUUUGGAUGUGUCAGACUGCCGAGGACUCCAGGCUUAACUGACAAGGAAACAAUAUCAGCAAAACGUUUGGACUUUGUUCCUGCCAUAUAUUGGUUCACAGUGUAUUACGGCAGUUAGUGCACUUCCUAUGGGGAGGAAACAUUUUGAUUUAAGGCUGGAUCUUACGUAGCCUCCAGAGCACUGGUUGAACUGGGACAGUAGCAUGAUUCAGUACUGAAUGGUCUUGGCAAUUGCACAGCUUGUCUGCCCUGGUUGUCUCCUCACGGUUACAGCCAAGUUACGUGCACCAUCUGGAUCCUGCCAGCACCACAGCCUCCUUGAGGAGAAAAAAAAAUCUGGUCUCCAGCUCCAUCCAAAGAGGAGCCCAGAUUAAGUUUUCAUUCCUCCCGUUUCUUCCUCUGUCCUCUGCCCUGCAAAACAAGCCUGGUGUCCUCAGUGGUUCCUUAACAGCACUCACGAGAGAAUGAACUGGCAACGAUGAACUGGAAUUUAAAGAGCGAAAUACUCCCUAGUAUUAAAAAUAAAAUAUAAGAAAUGAGCUAUCUGGUACUGUAGGUAGUAACCCUCUUCUUCUAGGAGCUGCUUUUGUGUCAUCAACAAACAAAUAAAUAAAUAAAUAAAACUGAGCAUGCUCUUUUUUCAAAAGUAUGGUAGCUCCUGAUUAUGUAACCCAAAUCUGACCCCAGCCUUGCACCCACUUCUCAAGGGAAGAAGGCUGGUGCAGCAGGCAGCACCGCCUCCUGCAGCUCUACAUGGCUGGGCAGGGAGCUUCACUGCCUCUGCCCCCAGUCCUGAGAGCAGUGGGGUGCUGGUGCCUCCAUGUUUGUGAUAUAUAUCAUGUGGAGAGAAAAAAAAAAAAAAAGUGGGAUUUGGCUUUAAUGAACAAAUCUAGCUCUGCCAUGUAGCAUUGAGAUUGCAUGAGGUUUGGAAUGCAUAUGGCUCUUGUUUAAAGGCUACAUCUAAUUAAGGCUCUCCAAACAUUUGGGAUUGUAGAUUCCUCAUAACCUUUCCAUUGUUCUUGAAGUCAAAAUAGCAGCAGCCUUAACCACGCAUACCAUAUCAUCAACAAGACUGCAGUUUAAAAGAAAGACUAUAAUUUGCACACCACUAGAUAAAAUGUAUACUCUAGAAAUUCUUUCCAACAUAUUAAAUGAUUUAAUAGGAAGUAGAACUUAACAAAAAUAUAGUUGCUAUAAGUCUCAAAGACCCACCCACAAUCUCUUAUGAAGAAAAAAAAUAUUUUCAAAUACAAAAAAUCUGAAGGUAAUAAUCUUAAAAGAUUGAAUUCAUACAAAACCCAAAUCUACUGCUAAAGGAGAGUAA